rnacentral:rRNA from 1 species
CUACGGGUGGCACCAGUGGGGAAUAUUGCACAAUGGGGGGAACCCUGAUGCAGCAACGCCGCGUGGAGGAUGACACAUUUCGGUGCGUAAACUCCUUUUAUAUAAGAAGAUAAUGACGGUAUUAUAUGAAUAAGCACCGGCUAACUCCGUGCCAGCAGCCGCGGUAAUACGGGGGGUGCAAGCGUUACUCGGAAUCACUGGGCGUAAAGAGCAUGUAGGCUGGUUUGUAAGUUGGAAGUGAAAUCCUAUGGCUUAACCAUAGAACUGCUUCCAAAACUACUUACCUAGAGUAUGGGAGAGGUAGAUGGAAUUUCUGGUGUAGGGGUAAUAUCUGUAGAGAUCAGAAGGAAUACCGAUUGCGAAGGCGAUCUACUGGAACAUUACUGACGCUCAGAUGCGAAAGCGUGGGGAGCAAACAGGAUUAGAUACCCGAGUAGUC